rnacentral:rRNA from 1 species
AUUGAACGCUGGCGGAAUGCUUUACACAUGCAAGUCGAACGGCAGCACGGGGCAACCUGGUGGCGAGUGGCGAACGGGUGAGUAGUACAUCGGAACGUGCCCAAUCGUGGGGGAUAACGUAGCGAAAGUUACGCUAAUACCGCAUACGAUCUACGGAUGAAAGCGGGGGAUCGCAAGACCUCGCGCGAAUGGAGCGGCCGAUGUCAGAUUAGGUUGUUGGUGAGGUAAAGGCUCACCAAGCCGACGAUCUGUAGCUGGUCUGAGAGGACGACCAGCCACACUGGGACUGAGACACGGCCCAGACUCCUACGGGAGGCAGCAGUGGGGAAUUUUGGACAAUGGGCGCAAGCCUGAUCCAGCAAUGCCGCGUGCAGGACGAAGGCCUUCGGGUUGUAAACUGCUUUUGUACGGACGAAAAGCCUUCUUCUAAUACAGGAGGUCAUGACGGUACCGUAAGAAUAAGCACCGGCUAACUACGUGCCAGCAGCCGAC